GAUGAACGCUAGCUACAGGCUUAACACAUGCAAGUCGAGGGGAAACGACAUCGAAAGCUUGCUUUUGGUGGGCGUCGACCGGCGCACGGGUGAGUAACGCGUAUCCAACCUGCCCACCACUUGGGGAUAACCUUGCGAAAGUAAGACUAAUACCCGAUGAUAUCUCUAGACGACAUCUGAAAGAGAUUAAAGAUUUAUCGGUGAUGGAUGGGGAUGCGUCUGAUUAGCUUGUUGGCGGGGUAACGGCCCACCAAGGCGACGAUCAGUAGGGGUUCUGAGAGGAAGGUCCCCCACAUUGGAACUGAGACACGGUCCAAACUCCUACGGGAGGCAGCAGUGAGGAAUAUUGGUCAAUGGACGAGAGUCUGAACCAGCCAAGUAGCGUGCAGGAAGACGGCCCUAUGGGUUGUAAACUGCUUUUAUAAGGGAAUAAAGUGAGAGUCGUGACUCUUUUUGCAUGUACCUUAUGAAUAAGGACCGGCUAAUUCCGUGCCAGC
rnacentral:rRNA from 1 species